AAGUGGCGCACGGGUGAGUAACACGUAGGUGACCUCCGUAAUAGAGGGGGAUAACCAGAUGAAAUUUUGGCUAAUCCCGCAUACGAAGACAAAUUUAAAAAUAGUUCUUGAAAGGAUGCCUCUGUAUAUGCAUCUACUAAACGAUGGGCCUGCGGUACAUUAUCUAGUUGGUGGGGUAAUGGCCUACCUUGGCGACGAUGUAUAACGGAUCUGAGAGGAUGAUCCGUCACACUGGAACGGCGACACGGUCCAGGCUGGUACGGGAGGCAGCAGUGGGGAAUAUUGGACAAUGGGCGAAAACCUGAUCCAGCAAUUCUGCGUGAGUGAGGAAGGACUUCGGUCUGUAAAGCUCUGUUAAUGUGGAAAAAUGGUAGUUGGUCUAAUAGGCCGAUUAUUUGAUGGUACACAUAGAGGAAGCACCGGCUAACUUCGUGCCAGCAGCCGCGGUAAUACGAAGGGUGCAAGCGUUGUUCGGAUUUAAUGGGCCUAAAGCGCGCGUAGGCGGACCUGUAAGUCAGAUGUGAAAUCUCGGUGCUCAACACCGAAACUGCGUCUGAAACUGCGGGUCCUGAAUCUUAGAGGGGGAGUGGGAAUUUCGCAAGUAGGGGUAAAAUCCGUAGAGAUGCGAACGAACACCAGAGGCGAAGGCGCACUCCUGCA
rnacentral:rRNA from 1 species